rnacentral:rRNA from 1 species
GACGAACGCUGGCGGCGUGCUUAACACAUGCAAGUCGAACGGAAAGGCCCCCAUCUUGGUGGGGGUGCUCGAGUGGCGAACGGGUGAGUAACACGUGGGUGAUCUGCCCUGUACUUCGGGAUAAGCUUGGGAAACUGGGUCUAAUACCGGAUAGGACCAUGGUUUAGUGUCUCAUGGUGGAAAGAUUAUUGUUUUGGUGCAGGACGAGCUCGCGGCCUAUCAGCUUGUUGGUGGGGUAAUGGCCUACCAAGGCGUCGACGGGUAGCCGGCCUGAGAGGGUGGACGGCCACAUUGGGACUGAGAUACGGCCCAGACUCCUACGGGAGGCAGCAGUGGGGAAUAUUGCACAAUGGGCGCAAGCCUGAUGCAGCGACGCCGCGUGGGGGAUGACGGCCUUCGGGUUGUAAACUCCUUUCGUUAGGGACGAAGCCGCACUUUUUUGGGGUGUGGUGACGGUACCUUUGUGAAGAAGCACCGGCUAACUACGUG